AGAGAUGGAUUGGUGCCUUCGGGAACUCUGACACAGGUGGCUGCAUGGCUGUCGUCAGCUCGUGUCAUGAGAUGUUGGGUUAAGUCCCGUAACGAGCGCAACCCUUGUCCUUAGUUACCAGCACGUUAUGGUGGGCACUCUAAGGAGACUGCCGGUGACAAACCGGAGGAAGGUGGGGAUGACGUCAAGUCAUCAUGGCCCUUACGGCCUGGGCUACACACGUGCUACAAUGGUCGGUACAAAGGGUUGCCAAGCCGCGAGGUGGAGCUAAUCCCAUAAAACCGAUCGUAGUCCGGAUCGCAGUCUGCAACUCGACUGCGUGAAGUCGGAAUCGCUAGUAAUCGUGAAUCAGAAUGUCACGGUCGAAUACGUUCCCGGGCCUU
rnacentral:rRNA from 1 species